rnacentral:rRNA from 1 species
GACGAACGCUGGCGGCGUGCUUAACACAUGCAAGUCGAACGGAAAGGCCCUGCUUUUGUGGGGUGCUCGAGUGGCGAACGGGUGAGUAAAACGUGAGUAACCUGCCCUUGACUUUGGGAUAACUUCAGGAAACUGGGGCUAAUAUCGGAUAGGAGCUCCUGCUGCAUGGUGGGGGUUGGAAAGUUUCGGCGGUUGGGGAUGGAAUCGCGGCUUAUCAGCUUGUUGGUGGGGUAGUGGCUUACCAAGGCUUUGACGGGUAGCCGGCCUGAGAGGGUGACCGGCCACAUUGGGACUGAGAUACGGCCCAGACGCCUACGGGAGGCAGCAGUGGGGAAUAUUGCACAAUGGGCGGAAGCCUGAUGCAGCAACGCCGCGUGCGGGAUGACGGCCUUCGGGUUGUAAACCGCUUUCGCCUGUGACGAAGCGUGAGUGACGGUAAUGGGUAAAGAAGCACCGGCUAACUACGUG